UAUCAUUGCAACCCAUAAAGGUAAUGAUAUCAAGGAGGGUACCAGGAUACGUUAUAUAUAUAGACUUGCAUAACAAGUACAUAACCCCACAUAAGUUCAUACUACCACCAACCAGUUACUGGCAAGUUCCACUUACUAGUUGAUCUUCAUAUCCAGUCAGACCCAAAAGUUAUACUAACAAAGUACAAGUUACCACCAAGUACCAAUUACUAGUAAGUUCCACUUAGUGGACCCAAAAGCUGAUACUACCAACUUCCAGUUACUGGCUAGUACGUACAUAUUAUAACAACUAGCGUCAAACUAGGCCAUUCAGUCAUGAUUCUUCACAUGGGUCAACGAAUCUUCAUGCCACUGGCCAUGUUGACCUUAAGCCCACCUUCCCACCUUUCCAUGAACCUGAAGAUAUCCAUAUGAUCUUCUUUCAUUUUGGCGCCCUCAACGACUUCUCUCCAGUUCUUCGUCAUGAUCGCACGCCCGUCCUUCUUGCCCAUCUUGAACAAGACCUUUUUAGAACAUUCAGAAUGUUCGUUGGUGACAUGCACAACCAUGGGCUGUCGCAGAUAAUCUUUGAGGUAGGCCUCACUGUAAUCCUUUGAGAAGCUCUUAUUUCACAAGGAAAUAAAUAAUGUUACAUGAUGUCAUUUUCACUUGUGAAGUAUGAUUUGCACACAAAAAAGUCCAAGUGUUUACCAUCUUGCUCUUCCCUCUGAUGACUGUCGAGUGAGUGACGGUGUAGACAUAGUAUGGUAUGGGAGGCUUGCAAUGCUUUACUAUUGAUUUGAGACAGUCCCACCUAAUCUGGUCUAGCGAUACAUGGUUGCUUUAGAAUGUGUGAUCCUCGAAACCUCCUCUUCUCACAAUGAUUCCAGGACCUGCAUCAAAAAAAUUAAUAUGACAGAGUAGUAAAUAAUUUCAUACAUAAGAUCUAGAACAUCAGCACUGGGUUGAUGAUCAAUGCCUACUUCAAUGAUCAAGAAAUGAAGGACAUAGAUAACCCAAUCACAUCCACCCAACAAUAUCUCGUAGAAAUAUGGGCAAAUUAAAUAUUUGAUUUAUUUAAACUAACAACUAAACACUGCUCUAUUUAAGCUCUAGUUCAGUUAAUGUUGAUUUGGAAGGUCAUUUAGAACCCAAACAGAAUAAUGUGUGGUAAUAAAGUGUUACUCAAACCUCAACUUUAGAUAGUUAAUGAUUUAUUUAAUAUCUGACGAGCCAUAUAGAACUUUACCCCUGUAUGCCAAGAUGGGAUCGUGGUCGACAUAUCCAUCUCCAUCAGAACUAUCAUCAGUGUCAUAGUCGCUAGAGGUGUCGUCAACACCGCUAUAGCCGUCACUCCCAUGUGAAGUGCCAUCUGAAGCAUCAUCUGAGGUGGUCCGAUGAUCACUCUCUUCACUGCUGAUGAGGAUGGUUUCCCUUGCCAUUCAAACCUGAUGCAUGCAUUGCAAUGAACAAAUGGUAGUUAUUGAUAUAUAAAAUCAUUCUUACAUUAUGACUUGUUAGCACCAUAGAUAAUGUGAAUAAUCUUUUCACAUACUUCUUACUAAGUAUGUAGUUAAUGUACAAACAUCUAGACGAAAAAGCUAGUCGACAACUAGAUUGAUACUACUAGACUAUUCGCACGACUAGUCAAGACUAGUGGUUAGACUCAUAAUUUUUCCAGUGAGAAUAAGGACAUGAUAUCAUCUCUUAAGAAAGAUGACAACAUAGUGAAGGCUAUGAGAACGAGCAACGUAUGCUGACCAACAAUCACCCUUUUGUAUACCUUGCUAUGUAUUUACUCAUUACUACCCAUACCAACAAGUAAAAUCAUGAUUAUGUAGUAUAAUGGCAGAAAAUCCAACAAUGGGGAAUUUGUUGCAAUAUGAACUACUAGCUCACAACAAAUCUUCAUUGACCCCAACAAGCCAAUACCAUAUCAUGGAGAUAGGCUGACAGAAUUCAAGUAAUUAGUAACAACAUAUGCACCAACCAUAAAUGUUACAUGUGUGCACACAUCAUCAAAAACAUGCACCAAUCAGUAGCCGUCUGUACUUAACAAAUCCAUCAAAAUAUGCACUAAUCAUCAUACUACCAUCGAGUAAUACAUGAAACUAUAAUUGAUCCUCAUUCCAUCAUUAAAAAAUUCCUCACGGACUGCUACUGUGCUCGCCUUCAAACCAUCCCCACAAACCAAAACACGUGUAUGCUCCUGCAAAUAUGCUUUUUCUAUAUCUAGGAGUGGGGGAUCAUUUUCCAGGGAGAAAAAGUACUUGAUAGAAUCUGUCAAGCAAGAUGAUAGCAUAGUGAAGGAUAUGUCGACGAGCAAGGUAUGCUGGCCAACACCCACCCUUCUCUUAAUCGCGAUGAAAGUGUUUACACAUUACAACCCAUACGAACAAAUAAAACCAUGAUUAUGCAGUACAUUUUCAGAAUAUCUUGCUAUGAAAUUACUUGUUGCAAUAUGACCUACUACUUGAGAGUAAAUCUGCGUAUUACCCGAAACAUGCUCACAAUCAAGUGUCAGAUUUUAACUUGGGCGGUGCUACUAGAUCGUAAAAUUAAAGUCAAAACGACAUGCGAAGGGCAUGGAAGACCAAUCUUACGUGCAAAGUGGUACCAGAUGGGGCUGGAGUAGACUUGUUCGAAGCUGGCACCACCGGAGCUUCGGGCGGCGCGGCCAGGGAUUGGGGAGAAGAGGUGUCGCAGUCGGACCUUGUUGUGGACGAAACAGUGGAGAUUCGUGGAUGAAGCAGUGGAGAUUCGUGGACGGAGUAGGGGGAGUGGGUGGCCUCACGGAUCCGGCCGAUUUGACAACGACGGGGGUGACCAAGGUGACGGCUUGGCAAACCCUAACCGUCGCCCUCCGUGUCGCCUCUCUGUCUCUUGGAAGAACGAAGUGUGGUGGAAUUGGGAACGGGGAGGGGUUAGGGUUGGGGCCAUCGCUCGCUUUUCUCUCUGCCACAGGCCCACAAAAGGAACAAAA
rnacentral:lncRNA from 1 species